rnacentral:rRNA from 1 species
GUUGCAAUUGUUCUUUGAAAACUAGAUAUAUAAACAUGACGAAGUCAAUUUUUUCGAGAGUUUGAUCCUGGCUCAGGAUGAACGCUGGCUGUGUGCCUAAUACAUGCAUGUCGAGCGAAGUGAUUUAUCACUUAGCGGCGAAUGGGUGAGUAACACGUACUCAACGUACCCUUCAGUUUGGCAUAGCGGUUGGAAACAACCGAUAAUUCCAAAUACUCGUAGAUGCCGCAUGGCAUUUACGGAAAAGACGCCUUAAAGCGUCGCUGGAGGAGCGGGGUGCGCAACAUUAGCUAGUUGGUGAGGUAACGGCCCACCAAGGCGAUGAUGUUUAGCGGGGUUGAGAGACUGAUCCGCCACACUGGGACUGAGAUACGGCCCAGACUCCUACGGGAGGCAGCAGUAGGGAAUAUUCCACAAUGGACGAAAGUCUGAUGGAGCGACACAGCGUGCAGGAUGAAGGCCCUAUGGGUUGUAAACUGCUGUGGUAAGGGAAUAAAAAAUAGUGUAGGAAAUGCCACUAUAUUGAAUGUACCUUAUUAGAAAGCAACGGCUAACUAUGUGCCAGCAGCCGCGGUAAUACAUAGGUUGCAAGCGUUAUCCGGAAUUAUUGGGCGUAAAGCGUCUGUAGGUUGUUUGUUAAGUCUGGCGUUAAAUUUUGGGGCUCAACCCCAAACCGCGUUGGAUACUGGCAGACUAGAGUUAUGUAGAGGUUAGCGGAAUUCCUUGUGAAGCGGUGAAAUGCGUAGAUAUAAGGAAGAACACCAACAUGGCGAAGGCAGCUAACUGGACAUACACUGACACUGAGAGACGAAAGCGUGGGGAGCAAACAGGAUUAGAUACCCUGGUAGUCCACGCCCUAAACGUUGAUCAUUAGCUGAUGGGGAACUCAUCGGCGCAGCUAACGCAUUAAAUGAUCCGCCUGAGUAGUACGUUCGCAAGAAUAAAACUUAAAGGAAUUGACGGGGACCCGCACAAGCGGUGGAGCAUGUGGUUUAAUUUGAAGAUACGCGUAGAACCUUACCCACUCUUGACAUCUUCUGCAAAGCUAUAGAGAUAUAGUGGAGGUUAACAGAAUGACAGAUGGUGCAUGGUUGUCGUCAGCUCGUGUCGUGAGAUGUUCGGUUAAGUCCUGCAACGAGCGCAACCCUUAUCCUUAGUUACUAACAUUCAGUUGAGCACUCUAGGGAGACUGCMCGAGUAAUCGGGAGGAAGGUGGGGACGACGUCAAAUCAUCAUGCCUCUUACGAGUGGGGCCACACACGUGCUACAAUGGCCGGUACAAAGUGAAGCAACCUGGUGACAGUGAGCAAACCACAAAAAGCCGGUCUCAGUUCGGAUUGGAGUCUGCAACUCGACUCCAUGAAGUCGGAAUCGCUAGUAAUCGUAGAUCAGCUACGCUACGGUGAAUACGUUCUCGGGUCUUGUACACACCGCCCGUCAAACCAUGGGAGCUGGUAAUGCCCGAAGUCGGUUUAUUAACAAACUGCCUAAGGCAGGACUGGUGACUGGGGUUAAGUCGUAACAAGGUAUCCCUACGAGAACGUGGGGAUGGAUUACCUCCUUUCUACGGAGUACAAAGCUAAUUUAAUUAGCAUUAACCUUAUUUUUCAGACCUACUAUUAUUAUUUAU